rnacentral:rRNA from 1 species
GAAUUUUGGACAAUGGGCGAAAGCCUGAUCCAGCAAUGCCGCGUGCGGGAUGAAGGCCUUCGGGUUGUAAACUGCUUUUGUACGGAACGAAAAGCUUUUGGUUAAUACCCUGGAGUCAUGUCGGUACCGUAAGAAUAGGCGCCGGCUCACUACGUGCCCUCAGCCGCGGUAAGACGUAGGGUGCAAGCGUUCAUCGGGAUUACUGGGCGUAAAGCGUGCGCAGGCGGUUGUGUAAGACAGAGGUGAAAUCCCCGGGCUCAACCUGGGAACUGCCUUUGUGACUGCAAGGCUAGAGUACGGCAGAGGGGGGUGGAAUUCCGCGUGUAGCAGUGAAAUGCGUAGAUAUGCGGAGGAACACCGAUGGCGAAGGCAACCCCCUGGGCCUGUACUGACGCUCAUGCACGAAAGCGUGGGGAGCAAACAG